rnacentral:lncRNA from 1 species
CUUCUCGACUUUCUUUUUUUUUUUUUGUUUUUCGUCCAAAAACGCGAAUUUUCUUUCGCAAAAUUUCCAUUCAACUUUGGUGGAACGUUCGUUUUCGAAAUCGUGGUGAAUAUCCGGUGGUAAUUUUCAUUUUCAUCGGUAUAUCGAAAUGCGAUUGUCAAAUUUUCAUCCGAGACGAGAAAAAAAAAAAAAAAAAAAUAGAAGAAAUCACGGUAUCACGGACCGACGUCGAAGUGUAUAUAUAACCCAUAUAUAAACCGAUAAUUAAUGUCGAACAAAUUUGAAACAAUGCGUGUACACGUGAAACUGGGAGGUUUUUUUGGCUCUGAGAGGAUUACCCGUGGGAUGAGGAAUUGUUGUGAAAUGGGUUUGAUCUGUAGGAUGGGUGGCGGGGUGUUUUGUAUUGUGUUGAAAGCAACGUCAUAAGUGAAGUUAACUGAACGCUGCACUUGAAAGACUAAUGAAAAACUUGGGGGAAACUUGAACACGCGUCGCUUCGCGCCCCUCUCGUUGAUCAAUCUCGCAUAUAUAUACACGCAUAUAUACAUAUACAUACAUAUGUAUACAGUGUAUUCCCAAUUUUUCUUCUUUUCCAUUCCUUUUCUCUUCCUUUUCCUCCCCUCCUAUAUUCUAUUCGUCCCGAACAUUCACGGACAUUCAAUUUUUCUUUGCGUUUUCAUUCCAAGCCGUGGAUUAUUUCUCAAGAUGACGAUAUUCAAUAACGCGUGGCGACGCCCGUUCAAGCACCCUCCGAUACGCGUCCGAGUCCCACAGUCCUUCGCCUCGUCUCCGUAGUGAGUGCCUCCGCGAUUUAUCGAAUAAACGCGACGGCUGUGUGCACGAUCGCUGCCUGUCCUUAUAGAAUAUAUAGACUCGAGUACGUUUAAUUAAUAAUUAUGCGUGUAUGCGUUACGGUUAACUGUUAAUUAACUUGACUUGACAAAUGGUUACGGUACUGUAAUUAAUUAAUUAUUAUCUGUUAGUUUAAAUAUGUGUGACUCCACCGUUUACAAUCCGUCAUCCGUCUUUCCUCUCUUCUCCCUUUCGCGAUCUCGCUCGCGCUCACUCUCUUUCUCUCUCUCUCUCUCUCUCUCGGCUUCCUUUCUCCUCUUCCUCUUCCUCUCUCCCUCUCUCUUUUCUCUCACCUCUCUAUUCGGAGUAUACAACGUACACGUUGCCUAAACUACGAACACUUAGUACACUUAGUAGCAUAUUUAUUUCCGUUAAAUAUUGAUUGGUUUAAUGGGAUCGAUGGGGGGGGAAAGGUGGAGGGACGUGGGGGAGGGGGAGGGUGGAUGGGUGGGAGGUGGGGCGGGAAUAUUCGUACGAACCGGUCACGGAACGAAAGUCUCAUCGAGAAUCUCCGAAGGGAACAACAACAACAACAACAACGCGGUCGACGUACGAUGUCACGGGGGGGGAAGAAAAAAUUCGGCACGCUACCAUUUCAUUUCCGCACUCUUCAGUCCGCGAUUGCCAGUCGAAGAAACGAAGAAAUCGAACGUGUCGUAGGUGAAUCCUUGUUUCGAAAAACGAUCAUUUUCAUUCCUCUCUUUUCUUUCUUUCUUUCUUUUCUUUCCCCAAUCUAAUUUUUCUUAUCCGAUUAUUUUUAUUUUUCAUUUUUUUUCCCCCUUUUUUUUUUUUUUUUUUAACUUGGACCGCCUCCCAACGAUUUUUUGUUCGUUUUCUCUUUUGUUUUUUUUUUUUUUAUUUUUAAAGGAAACGUUUUACGUUUUAAAAGAAUUUUCGCAACAUUUUCGAAAUUGACCAUCCGUAUCGGUUCUUUUUCUUUUUUUUUUUU